rnacentral:rRNA from 1 species
AGCGAACGCUGGCGGCAGGCUUAACACAUGCAAGUCGAGCGGGCAUCUUCGGAUGUCAGCGGCAGACGGGUGAGUAACACGUGGGAACGUACCCUUCGGUUCGGAACAACUCUGGGAAACUGGAGCUAAUACCGGAUACGCCCUUAUGGGGAAAGGUUUACUGCCGUAGGAUCGGCCCGCGUCUGAUUAGCUAGUUGGUGGGGUAACGGCCUACCAAGGCGACGAUCAGUAGCUGGUCUGAGAGGAUGAUCAGCCACACUGGGACUGAGACACGGCCCAGACUCCUACGGGAGGCAGCAGUGGGGAAUAUUGGACAAUGGGCGCAAGCCUGAUCCAGCCAUGCCGCGUGAGUGAUGAAGGCCUUAGGGUUGUAAAGCUCUUUUGUCCGGGACGAUAAUGACGGUACCGGAAGAAUAAGCCCCGGCUAACUUCGUG